rnacentral:rRNA from 1 species
CAGUCGCCGCGGUAAUACAGAGGAUGCAAGCGUUAUCCGGAAUGAUUGGGCGUAAAGCGUCUGUAGGUGGCUUUUCAAGUCCGCCGUCAAAUCCCAGGGCUCAACCCUGGACAGGCGGUAGAAACUACCAAGUUGGAGUACGGUAGGGGCAGAGGGAAUUUCCGGUGGAGCGGUGAAAUGCGUUGAGAUCGGAAAGAACACCAACGGCGAAAGCACUUUGCUGGGCAGACACUGACACUGAGAGACGAAAGCUAGGGGAGCAAAUGGGAUUAGAUACCCCAGUAGUCCCUGUCUCUUAUAC